GACGAACGCUGGCGGCGUGCUUAACACAUGCAAGUCGAGCGGAUCUUCUCCGGGGGGUAACCCCUGGGGAAGGUGAGCGGCGAACGGGUGAGUAACACGUGAGGAACGUACCCCGGACUCCGGGAUAACAGUGGGAAACCGCUGCUAAUACCGGAUACUCUCCCCCUCCCGCAUGGGCGGAGGAGGAAAUGGUCCGCCGGUCCGGGAUCGCCUCGCGGCCCAUCAGCUUGUUGGUGAGGUAACGGCCCACCAAGGCGACGACGGGUAGCUGGCGUGA
rnacentral:rRNA from 1 species